rnacentral:rRNA from 1 species
UACGUAGGGGGCAAGCGUUGUCCGGAAUCAUUGGGCGUAAAGAGCGUGUAGGCGGUUCGGUAAGUCGGCUGUGAAAGUCCAGGGCUCAACCCUGGGAUGCCGGUCGAUACUGCCGGACUAGAGUUCGGAAGAGGCGAGUGGAACUCCCGGUGUAGCGGUGAAAUGCGCAGAUAUCGGGAGGAACACCUAUGGCGAAGGCAGCUCGCUGGGACGUUACUGACGCUGAGACGCGAAAGCGUGGGGAGCAAACAGG